rnacentral:misc_RNA from 1 species
UGUAAAAUCACAUGCAAUUCAUCAAAGGUCUCCUACGUUUUAGAUACAGAAGACUAUUUGUUUCGCACAAAAGGCAGAAGAAGAAGUUUGCAUAGAAAUGGUUCAUGCCGUCACCACCAGUCAAGGUCUUCAAAUGGAAACUCAAGCAGAGGACACCGAUAUCAACGAUGGCUAUCGAGUUCGUGAUGGCACAUCCUAUUACCUGAUUGUUUCCAAUGGCAUGAUACGGGCA